rnacentral:rRNA from 1 species
UACGGAGGGUGCGAGCGUUGUCCGGAAUCACUGGGCGUAAAGGGCGCGUAGGCGGCCUGAUAAGUAGGGGGUGAAAUCUUGCGGCUUAACCGCAAGGCUGCCUUCUAAACUGUCAGGCUAGAGCACAGUAGAGGCAGGUGGAAUUCCCGGUGUAGCGGUGGAAUGCGUAGAGAUCGGGAAGAACAUCAGUGGCGAAGGCGGCCUGCUGGGCUGUUGCUGACGCUGAGGUGCGACAGCGUGGGGAGCAAACAGG